rnacentral:rRNA from 1 species
AGAGUUUGAUCAUGGCUCAGGAUGAACGCUGGCGGCGUGCUUAACACAUGCAAGUCGAACGAAGCACUUUAUUCGAAUUCUUCGGAAGGAAGAUUUAGUGACUGAGUGGCGGACGGGUGAGUAACGCGUGGGCAACCUGCCUCAUACAGGGGGAUAACAGUUGGAAACGACUGCUAAUACCGCAUAAGCGCACAGUACCGCAUGGUACAGUGUGAAAAACUCCGGUGGUAUGAGAUGGGCCCGCGUCUGAUUAGCCAGUUGGCGGGGUAACGGCCCACCAAAGCGACGAUCAGUAGCCGACCUGAGAGGGUGACCGGCCACAUUGGGACUGAGACACGGCCCAAACUCCUACGGGAGGCAGCAGUGGGGAAUAUUGCACAAUGGGGGAAACCCUGAUGCAGCGACGCCGCGUGAGCGAAGAAGUAUUUCGGUAUGUAAAGCUCUAUCAGCAGGGAAGAAGAAUGACGGUACCUGACUAAGAAGCACCGGCUAAAUACGUGCCAGCAGCCGCGGUAAUACGUAUGGUGCAAGCGUUAUCCGGAUUUACUGGGUGUAAAGGGAGCGCAGGCGGAAGGCUAAGUCUGAUGUGAAAGCCCGGGGCUCAACCCCGGUACUGCAUUGGAAACUGGUCAUCUAGAGUGUCGGAGGGGUAAGUGGAAUUCCUAGUGUAGCGGUGAAAUGCGUAGAUAUUAGGAGGAACACCAGUGGCGAAGGCGGCUUACUGGACGAUUACUGACGCUGAGGCUCGAAAGCGUGGGGAGCAAACAGGAUUAGAUACCCUGGUAGUCCACGCCGUAAAC